rnacentral:lncRNA from 1 species
GCAGAUUCUACUUGUGCAUUAAGCUCUUUCCCUAGCUGAGACUUAUGGUUCAUCCCCGAGUGGUAUGUUUGUUUGAGAUGUUCACCAUUCUCUCCUUCAGUGGAAGAGCAAUCUUUUCUCCUCAGAAGGUGUGAUCUCCUUGGUGAAUUUGGUACUUGGUGUUGGAUCACCAGAUUCCCCUUGUCUUUCUCAGAUAGAUCCCCAGUAGAGUUGUUGGAUUUUAUCUGUGACGAUGUUAUCUUCCUCAGAUAGAUCCCCAACGGAGUUGUUGGUGUGUUGGAUCUU